rnacentral:rRNA from 1 species
AGCGAACGCUGGCGGCAGGCCUAAUACAUGCAAGUCGAACGAACUCUUCGGAGUUAGUGGCGGACGGGUGAGUAACACGUGGGAACGCGCCUUUAGGUUCGGAAUAACUCAGGGAAACUUGUGCUAAUACCGAAUGUGCCCUUCGGGGGAAAGAUUUAUCGCCUUUAGAGCGGCCCGCGUCUGAUUAGCUAGUUGGUGAGGUAAAGGCUCACCAAGGCGACGAUCAGUAGCUGGUCUGAGAGGAUGAUCAGCCACAUUGGGACUGAGACACGGCCCAAACUCCUACGGGAGGCAGCAGUGGGGAAUCUUGCGCAAUGGGCGAAAGCCUGACGCAGCCAUGCCGCGUGAAUGAUGAAGGUCUUAGGAUUGUAAAAUUCUUUCACCGGGGACGAUAAUGACGGUACCCGGAGAAGAAGCCCCGGCUAACUUCGUG